rnacentral:rRNA from 1 species
GACGAACGCUGGCGGCGUGCUUAACACAUGCAAGUCGAACGGAAAGGCCCCUUCGGGGGUACUCGAGUGGCGAACGGGUGAGUAACACGUGAGUAACCUGCCCUUGACUUCGGGAUAACUUCAGGAAACUGGGGCUAAUACCGGAUAGGAAUCCUUGCUGCAUGGUGGGGGUUGGAAAGCUUCGGCGGUUUUGGAUGGACUCGCGGCUUAUCAGCUUGUUGGUGGGGUAGUGGCUUACCAAGGCUUUGACGGGUAGCCGGCCUGAGAGGGCGACCGGCCACAUUGGGACUGAGAUACGGCCCAGACUCCUACGGGAGGCAGCAGUGGGGAAUAUUGCACAAUGGGCGGAAGCCUGAUGCAGCAACGCCGCGGGCGGGAUGACGGCCUUCGGGUUGGAAACCGCUUUCAGCAGGGGCGAAGCUUGUGGUGACGGUACCUGCAGAAGAAGCACCGGCUAACUACGUG